rnacentral:rRNA from 1 species
AUUGAACGCUGGCGGUAGGCCUAACACAUGCAAGUCGAACGCGAAAGUCCUUCGGGAUGAGUAGAGUGGCGGACGGGUGAGUAACGCGUAGGAAUCUAUCCUGUAGUGGGGGAUAACGUUUCGAAAGGAACGCUAAUACCGCAUACGCCCCAAGGGGGAAAGCGGGGGAUCUUCGGACCUCGUGCUAUAGGAGGAGCCUGCGUCGGAUUAGCUAGUUGGUGAGGUAAAGGCUCACCAAGGCGACGAUCCGUAGCUGGUCUGAGAGGCUGAUCAGCCACACCGGAACUGAGACACGGUCCGGACUCCUACGGGAGGCAGCAGUGGAGAAUAUUGCGCAAUGUGCGAAAGCCUGACGCAGCCAUACCGCGUGUGUGAAAAAGGCCUUCGGGUUGUACAGCACUUUCAGUGGGGAGGAAAAGCUUGUGGCUAAUAUCCAUCGGCCGUGACGCUACCCACAGAAGAAGCACCGGCUAAUUCCGUGCCAGCCGCCGCGGUAAGAC